UUUGUACCUACUUCAUUCAGCUAACAAUAUUUACUGAGCGCUUAUUGUGAAUGUUCUCAUUUGAAACAAAUUGCGCCCGCUUUUUUGUUCGCGCCUAAUUAUCGUGUGUUUUGCUUUGCUUCCUUCUUCCAACAGAUUUUGGACGACUAAACGACAAAUCUUACAAAAUAAUUGUAAAAUUGUGCUAAAAAAACGUUUAAAGUGUGUACAUUGCUCAAUCAUACUUCAAAAUUAAGUGGUUUAACAAUUUUUAAUGAAUAUACAUAAGUGUACGUUAUAAUGUGUGUAGUUGUAAUUGAAUUUUAUUGGCUUAAAAGCAUUCUAUAGAAGUUGUUAAAGAGCAGCGCAGACCUUUUGAGCACAACAUGCGCAUAGCUGCCGCCUUACACUUGUGUGCGUGUAGAAAUGCAGCCAAUGUCAAUGCCGAGAUCACAGCUAAUGCAAGCCCACAUAUACGAGUAUAUAGCGAGUGAGCGAUGCAAGAACAACAAGAACAAAUUGAAACAUAAAACAUAGUGCCAUCAAACCAUUCACAAUGCUUUCCUACGCAUUCACCGCCCGCCUGCAAGGCAAGACAAUGCAUGUGAGUAUGUCUGUGAUGUUUGUAUAUGUAUAUGCUUGCAGCGAAUAACAGCAUUCCGUGUUGAAAAUAGAGAUGUACCAUUAUGCUGAGCCUACGCAUUCAAACUCAGCAUUCCCAUAAAGUGCAUGGAAAUUGAAAUGUUAGCCCACAUUACCAACUACGGUGCAUUUGCACCGGCACUUAUCUAGCCUACACACACACACAUGCAACCAGAAGAUAGUUAUACACUAUAGACAGCAACUCACACCGCCGCCUUAGUUUCUCUCCACACACACAUACGCUUGCUUUGCAAUUCUAUACAACUUUCAUCCGCAACUGAUUGCUUUGAAAAUGCAUUGUGUUUGUUGUCGUCUUCAUCGGUGAGCUCGUUCAUCAUUUGUAACAAUUGUUUUGAGCUCCGGCAUUGAGUUGUUUGUUACUUUUGAGUUCGUUCCGUAGGACAUCUUAAUUGGUUGUGCGCUUCGACGUUUUGAAAAGAAUACCGCACACAAAGGUGUCAGAACUGUUGUUGCUGAUAGAAGGUGUGUGUGUGUGUGUAGUUAAGCUACAACAACGACAACAAUAAGUUCUCUCCAUGAAGCAUCGCCUCAAUUUCGGUUUGUUCGUCGAAAUGAAGUAGUUUUUGGUUUUUUUCUCAACUACUUUUUUAAGUUCGUUUGAAGUUACGAAUUUGUGUGUCGUUUCUUGAGUCGUUGAGUUGAUUUGUAUUGGCCGAGAUUAGUCGUUUGAAUGUCUUCCUCAUUUCAAUGUCGGAAUUCCUUGAAUACAGCAACGAUCUCUGUCCAUAAAUAGUUGUUGUAUCCUCUUCAUUUAUUUGUUGGAAACUUAAGCCCAUUAUAGGGCUUGGCAUUGUAAAGGCAGUAUUUUCCUUGCCGCUUGAAACCCUGUAGGAAAUUAAAUGAUCUCUGCUAGUUUAUAUCACAAAAACUUGUUAAACAGUUGCUAUAAUUCAAUAAAGAUUUCCGGAUAGGAUUCUCCACAUUGAGUUUCAUUUCUAAGAGACCAGAUCGGAUUCCGAUCCGAUUUUCAAAAUGUUCUCUUAUUUAAAAAUACAUUCGGAUUUGUAUCUGCACAAGAACCGGAGCGACCUGAAUUACAUUUCAUGAAGCUACGACUAGCAUUGGUCAAUUCGAAAACUAGAUAUAACGAACGGUGAUAAAGCGAUCAAAGUCAAUAUAGUCUUAAAAAUCUCAUGGUAUUUCUUUGACAGUUUCGAAAAAUAUCUGACCUUAGCGGAUGUUUAUGCACCGUAGGUUAGAUUGGGUUAGGUUUGGGGAUGUUCUAUGGGUAUCUCAUUUGGAAAGUUGAAACGUGUAAGUCGUUGAUUAUGUCAAAAAUCUUCUAGAUAUGGAUCGAAAGAUCCUCGUGUGCUGACGAUUUAUUCAGUCGGCGCCUGUCAUUUUGUUAAAAUGUUGAAUAUUGAUUCUAGGCGAUCUCGACUGUUUUCGAAAAUUUGACAACUGAAAUGCUGAAACCUUAGUCUAGUGAAAGUUUGUCAGUGGCGAAGAAAGUUUUUAAUUUUUUAUGAAGACUAUAAGUGACAAUAUAGUGCACAUAGAUGUCGCAAGAUUCAUAACGUGAAUUUAUUAGAGUUUAAAUAUUUGUAGAGAUCUGUUUGCAUCUCAACUGAAAAUGUCACUUUUUAAGCCGAAUUCUCGACAUUUGCGGGAAAUUUUGCUUUUCUUUUUUAAUUCCAAGAAAAGUGCGGCUAAGGCUCAUCGACAUUUGUAACCGUUUAUGUACAAAAAAAAACUUAAAUUUACAAAAAACAAGUAAGGAAGGGCUAAGUUCGGGUGUAACCGAACAUUUUAUAC